AGACCAUGCCAGGAGGGCACCUCCUGCUCAGUUGCUUGUAUCUUUCCCAAGCUUCAUAGAGGGAUUCACCUUCUUUUUGUCUCACAGUUUAAACUUUUACUCUGAUUUU